AUGUCUCUCUCUGUCUUUAAGGAUACUCUCUGAAGUGUUACACAUGCUUAUCUGGGGAUCAGACGGGUUCCUGUGAUGCAAAAGUGGAGAUAUGUGGAGAUGGAUUUUCCAAAUGUGAAAGCAAAACAGUAGAACGAUCCAUUGGUUCCGCUAAGGUGUCCAUCAAAACUAAACAGUGUGCACUUAAAUGUGAACCUGGUACCCAACAACUCCUGACUGGGCCAAUAACUACCCACUGCUGUGACACUGACCUCUGCAAUGCUGCAGGUAUUGUUCUUUAUAUGAUCAUGUGCCAAUUUGCAUGUAUGUGUGUUUCCCCUCAUAACAACUAUUACAGUAAUAUAAACACAUGAUUGUUCAAAAAAGCAAAACAAUUUCAAUAAUGCAAAGCUAGAGCAGCAUGAAAAGGAAAAAAUUAUAAAUUAGACAAGCAUUGACUGGGUAAAUUGAUUAAAAUUGAUUGAUUGAGAGUCAAUACAAUUUCUAAUUACUAUUAUUGUUAGUAGUAGCAUUAAAUAACAAUAAUUUCUUUAUUCUGUUGAUCAGAUGGCGUGUAUAAGGGAAACUUCCUCCUGCUGUUGUCUCCUCUGCUCUUCUACUUCCUGUUUCAGUGAAUCCAGCUGCACUUCAGAUUCUACAGCUGCAACAGAAACUGAAUGGCAAACACAUUUUUCUAUUCUUCAAUAAAUAAAUAAAGCUUGUCA
ensembl:lncRNA